rnacentral:rRNA from 1 species
AUUGAACGCUGGCGGAAUGCUUUACACAUGCAAGUCGAACGGCAGCACGGACUUCGGUCUGGUGGCGAGCGGCGAACGGGUGAGUAAUGUAUCGGAACGUGCCCAGUCGUGGGGGAUAACGUAGUGAAAAUUACGCUAAUACCGCAUACGAUCUAUGGAUGAAAGCGGGGGAGCGCAAGACCUCGCGCGAUUGGAGCGGCCGAUAUCCGUGUAGGUAGUUGGUGGGGUAAAGGCCCAGCAAGCCAUCGACCUGUAGAUGGUCUGAGAGGACGACCAGCCACACUGGAACUGAGACACGGUCCAGACUCCUACGGGAGGCAGCAGUGGGGAAUUUUGGACAAUGGGCGAAAGCCUGAUCCAGCCAUUCCGCGUGCAGGAUGAAGGCCCUCGGGUUGUAAACUGCUUUUGUACAGAACGAAAAGGUUUCUACUAAUACUAGGAGCUCAUGAGGGUACUGUAAGAAUAAGCACCGGCUAACUACGUGCCAGCAGCCGCCGUAA